rnacentral:lncRNA from 1 species
UUUGCUGGCUUUAGUAAAGCUAGUUGCCAUGUUGGGGAUGCCCAUGUGACAAGAAACUGAGGGUGGCUUCUGGCUACCAGCCAGCUUGAACUGAGUCUCACAGUCUAAUAUCCCAAAGGAAAUUAAUCCUGCCAACAACAUAAAAAGAAAAAGAAUGGAUUUUCCAGUCUCUUUGACCCCUGAGAUCUCAAAGCCCCUGUGAAGAUCGAUCAGUUGGCAUGGCUGGAUUCAGACUUCCCAGGCCAAGAGGACUUGAAGAAAUGAUCAGAUGAAUCUCAGAAACUCAGAGUUUGAAUAAUAGUUGUCGGUUAUUGCACACUUGCUGUGUGCCAGGCAUGGUGCUCACUGCUGCCCAUGGAUCAUUUCACCUAAUUUCAUCUACCAGCCUGAUAUCUGCACAUGUGAGAACCUGAGACGUAGGGAGUUUGCACGGCUUUAGCUUUCGCAGAAGGAGUAACACAGGGUCAUACCAACUUACUCCAGUUACCAAUUCUGUGACCUCAGAUGCCAAAACUCGAGGCGCAGAAAACCUAAGUAACUUGCUCAGGAUGCCAUACAGCAAGUGAGGGGCAGAGCCAGGAUUCUGUCUGAGCCCUCUGGUGGUUGGGCACCAUCAGCUCCAGGAAGCCUCUUCUAUGUGCUCCAGAAUUGGUUGCAUGGGGAGCCCCUAUGAACUUCACCUUCCUGAGCCUCAGUUUUCUGUAAAAUGGAUAUGAUAGCAACCACUCUUGCCUUACUUUAUACACAGUGCUGUUGGCAAAACCAAAU